rnacentral:lncRNA from 1 species
AAAGUUCUUCACAAUACCCACUGCCCACCAAGAAGAAAACUAUUCUUGAAGUCAGUUCUUCACAAAACCCACUUUCACACACAGUGAACUGCCUGUUGGUAUGGAAGAUAAAGAAGACGCAUUGUCUUCUCCAAUAAAACCAUAGAUCUGACAUGACCGCCGUAUAUUUUUGAAUGGUACAAUCUAUAGUCUAUACUAUUAACCUUCUUGUUGCCUUUAGAGAACCACAAAGUAAUUGCAAAGAAGAAACAAAUUUCCACUUUGCCCAACCUUUAAACACAACAUAAUGUAUUU